rnacentral:rRNA from 1 species
GAUGAACGCUGGCGGCGUGCCUAAUACAUGCAAGUCGAGCGAACAGACGAGGAGCUUGCUCCUCUGACGUUAGCGGCGGACGGGUGAGUAACACGUGGAUAACCUACCUAUAAGACUGGGAUAACUUCGGGAAACCGGAGCUAAUACCGGAUAAUAUAUUGAACCGCAUGGUUCAAUAGUGAAAGACGGUUUUGCUGUCACUUAUAGAUGGAUCCGCGCCGCAUUAGCUAGUUGGUAAGGUGACGGCUUACCAAGGCAACGAUGCGUAGCCGACCUGAGAGGGUGAUCGGCCACACUGGAACUGAGACACGGUCCAGACUCCUACGGGAGGCAGCAGUAGGGAAUCUUCCGCAAUGGGCGAAAGCCUGACGGAGCAACGCCGCGUGAGUGAUGAAGGUCUUCGGAUCGUAAAACUCUGUUAUUAGGGAAGAACAAAUGUGUAAGUAACUAUGCACGUCUUGACGGUACCUAAUCAGAAAGCCACGGCUAACUACGU